rnacentral:sRNA from 1 species
UGUGGGAGUAAUCUGGCUGCGAUACCUGUCACCCUGUUGAUCGCCAGGGUUGAUUCAGCAGUUCUGGCUGGUUAAGCGGUUGCCGUCUUCUUCCCUCACUGCUCCAUGUGUGUCCCUCCCAAAAGCUGCACACUCGUGAAAGAGGACAAUCGCCCAGAUAGAAGAAACAAACCAUUCUUCAGUCAAGGGUAUACAACAGGCCUGUACAGCAAACAAGACUUCAUAGUUUCAUGAAUGAAUUAGCUAUGGAA